rnacentral:rRNA from 1 species
UACGUAGGGUGCGAGCGUUGUCCGGAAUUAUUGGGCGUAAAGAGCUUGUAGGCGGUUUGUCGCGUCUGCUGUGAAAAUCCGGGCUCAACCCGGACUUGCAGUGGGUACGGCAGACUAGAGUGUGGUAGGGGAGACUGGAAUUCCUGGUGUAGCGGUGAAAUGCGCAGAUAUCAGGAGGAACACCGAUGGCGAAGGCAGGUCUCUGGGCCACUACUGACGCUGAGAAGCGAAAGCAUGGGGAGCGAACAGG